GGUGGGUGUCGGACUUGUGGCCUAGGGGAUGACGAAAGCAACCGAUCAAUCAUAACUCCGCCCAUGCUGGCUACUGAACACAAAGAAAGAUAAGUCCUGCAGCCUGGGACUGGGACACUGAAGAAUUCUGGCAUCUCCAGGCAUGCCAACAGGGGAUCUGCAAGGGAUGCUGGAGAAAAAGACUGGAAAAUUACCCUGUCAUGAAGAGGCCAAUGAAUACUUGGGCUUUAAGUCUAAGCUCAGAAGGGAACUUAAUCUCAUGGUUCUUGGACUAAGAAUAAUGAGACCGCUGUUCCUGGAACUGUCCAUCAUCGGCUGGGUCCAUACAAGCCAACUGGAAUAUUUCCUGGGGGGAGAGUGGACUCAUCGAAGGGUAUCCACCAUGGCCACUCCUGAAAAACAAUGCCGAAGUCAGAGGAUUAAGUCCGGAAUCCUGAACCCGGCCUCUCUCAUGAUUUGGUUCCUACUGUGCCAGCCUCCUCUUGCUCCAGGAAUUCCAGACAAACUGGACCCUGUUCUUGAAUAUGCCAGGCUUCUUUCUGCCUCAAGAAGCUAUUAUAGACUGUGUCCAGACAGCAGAUUGCUUCUCUCCAGCUCCCCUGUCCAAACUUCUUUCAUGUUCCUUUGAAUUUAUCCUUCAAAAUUCUUACUAAAAGUGACUUGCUUCAGGAAGGGAUCUGACGCCUCCCCCGCCAUGCCCACCUGCUCAGAUCUCCCUCUCAUGCAUGCACUCAGAUCAUGCUGCAGUUUUUCUUCUUGCCACUUAACAGCACUGUAAUGAAACCACUGGAAAUGAUCACUUUUCUUCUUCCCAAUAAUUGUUUCUUAUCUGGUUUUACACCUACGUAAGCUCAGUGAAGGAGGAGUUUUACCUGUUAUGUUCACCCCUCUACUUCCAGGACAUCUCCAAUCUGUACUGGGCUCUAGAAACACAGAUGGUCCUGGUGGGUCUCUCCCAGGGUCCCCGUUUUAGGAAAUGCAUUGGAAACCUGAGGGUCAUCUUUGAUUCUUCCUCCUUCUUUAUUACAUGUACCAAAUCCUAUCCAUUCUUGCUACUAAUUAUCUCUCCCCAUUUCUAUCCUGUUAGCCCAGCCAAUCAUUAAUAAUUUAUACAGCCGCAAUCCCUGACCAAAUGGUGUGCCAGCUCUCAAACUGCUCCCCUUCCAUCCACUGAGGACAAACUGAAUUCAAGACUUACCUUUGAAAAGCCCAAAACUGACCAUGUUCCUCUGGUACAUGCAACCUCGUUUUCCUGCUUGUAAUGCUCCUAGAGGCUGGCCUCUGUGCAGCUCUCCAAACUCACCUCCACUGAGCUCUCUGUACUCCAACCAUCCUGACAGUGUUUAGGAUCCUUAAACUUCCCAUUCUUUCAGCUUUCCUGAAGAGCUUGCCUUCAGGUCUCACUCAAAUGGUACUUCCUCAGGGAGGCCUCCCCUAACCCUCCAAUUAGGUGACGUGCUUCCUUUCCACAACAUCUCAGAAGCCCAGCCUUUUGUAUGUUGGCCAGCUUCUCAGCCAUAUUCGAUUUCAAUAAAUACUGGUUAAGUCAAUGACUAAAUGAGUCAAUAAACACAUGGGAGAGAAGCUCCUAUGAUCCUAUGAUAAAGUUAUUUUGUCUCACAAACUGUGGUAAGACAGGGAUCUAGAUGGAGGAGGGUGACCUCCAUUUCUAAGCCAAGAUGCCCUGAAAAGCACUUUACACCCUUCCAAUGAGGAGCUUCUGCUGCUCCAACCAUACCUCCUUCCUGAAUAGACCAAAGAUAAACAUCUGCUUGUUUUCUGAAGACAGGAGAAUCCAUACCCUGAUACCUCAUCACAUCAAAACUACUUGUAAAGAAAGAUACAGGGCUCUAGAACAGAGCCUAGAAGCUGGUCCCUUUCUUUUCUUUCAAGAAAAGAAAAUCCAAUGUGUUGGCUUGUGACCUGUGAGAGCAAUGCUUUUCAAAAACAGGUCUCCAACAUGACAGGAGAAAAGAAAAUAAUGGUGUGUGAGAUUCCAAAUGGCAUUCUGACA